UACAGAGGGUGCGAGCGUUAAUCGGAAUUACUGGGCGUAAAGCGCGCGUAGGCGGCUUUUCAAGUCGGAUGUGAAAUCCCCGGGCUUAACCUGGGAACUGCAUUCGAGACUGUCUAGCUAGAGUAUGGGGGAGGGAAGUGGAAUUCCGAGUGUAGAGGUGAAAUUCGUAGAUAUUCGGAAGAACACCAGUGGCGAAGGCGGCUCACUGGACCGGCAUUGACGCUGAGGUGCGAAAGCGUGGGGAGCAAACAGG
rnacentral:rRNA from 1 species